rnacentral:rRNA from 1 species
GGCUUGUAUGAAUGGUCUGAUGAGGAAAUAACUUUCUUUAUAUUAAAUGUUGAAUUUAAUUUUUUAGUUAAAAAGCUAAAAUUAUUGAAUGGGACGAGAAGACCCUAUAGAAUUUUAUUUUUUAUUUAAAUUAUAGGAAUUGGUUAAUUAUUUUAUUUUUUAUUUAAAAAAUUUUGUUGGGGUGACAUUGAGAUUCUUUUAACUCUCAAAAUUAAUAUUUUAAUUAUUAUUAUUAUUUAGAUCCUAUUUUAUGGAUAUAUAGAUUAAAUUACCUUAGGGAUAACAGCGUAAUUUUUCUGGAGAGUUCUUA